UACGGAAGGCAGCAGGGGGAAUAUUGCACAAUGGGCGCAAGCCUGAUGCAGCCAUGCCGCGUGUAUGAAAAAGGCCUUCGGGUUGUAAAGUACUUUCAGUCGUGAGGAAGGUGUUAAGGUUAAUAACCUUAGCAAUUGACGUUAGCGACAGAAGAAGCACCGGCUAACUCCGUGCCAGCAGCCGCGGUAAUACGGAGGGUGCGAGCGUUAAUCGGAAUUACUGGGCGUAAAGGGCACGCAGGCGGUUAAUUAAGUUGGAUGUGAAAUCCCCGGGCUUAACCUGGGAAUGGCAUUCAAGACUGGUUAGCUAGAGUCUUGUAGAGGGGGUAGAAUUCCAUGUGUAGCGGUGAAAUGCGUAGAGAUGUGGAGGAAUACCGGUGGCGAAGGCGGCCCCUGGACAAAGACUGACGCUCAUGUGCGAAAGCGUGGGGAGCAAACAGGGAUUUAGAU
rnacentral:rRNA from 1 species